UCCCUCGCUAGCAAAAUGUUCAUCGGGGGACUGAGCUGGCAGACGACUCAAGAAGGCUUGCGGGAGUACUUCAGCCAGUUUGGCGAGGUGAAGGAGUGCCUGGUCAUGAGGGACCCACUGACCAAGCGAUCCAGGGGCUUCGGCUUCGUCACAUUCAUGGACCAGGCCGGGGUGGACAAGGUGCUGGCCCAAUCCAGGCACGAGCUGGACUCCAAAACG